rnacentral:lncRNA from 10 species
CCUAACCCCUGCCCUCAAUGGGCUGUCCAUCUUACAUGAAAGAACACAGGAGAAAAUAAGAAGUUACAACAGCAGGACUGGGAACAGGGGUGAUUAAUUUGCUCUUCCGGAGUUUCAGGAAACCCCAAAGGUGGCACCUAAACUGUGACUCUAAGGAUGGGUAGGACAGAUAGGAGGGGCUGGGGAAGGUAGGGGGUUGAAAAUAACUGCAUGUGAUUCCAAGGUGGAAAUUA